CCUACGGGAGGCAGCAGUGAGGAAUAUUGGUCAAUGGGCGAGAGCCUGAACCAGCCAAGUAGCGUGCGGGAUGAAGGCCCUACGGGUCGUAAACCGCUUUUGCACGGGGAUAACACGCUCCACUUGUGAAUCUCUGCAAGUACCCUGCGAAUAAGGACCGGCUAAUUCCGUUCCAGCAGCCGCGGUAAUACGGAGGGCGCGAGCGUUAUCCGGAUUCAUUGGGUUUAAAGGGUGCGCAGGCGGGCUGUUAAGUCAGCGGUCAAAGCCCGGGGCUCAACCCCGGCCCGCCGUUGAAACUGGCAGUCUUGAGUGGGAGAGAAGUAUGCGGAAUGCGCGGUGUAGCGGUGAAAUGCAUAGAUAUCGCGCAGAACUCCGAUUGCGAAGGCAGCAUGCCGGCGCCAGACUGACGCUGAGGCACGAAAGCGUGGGUAUCGAACAGGAUUAGAUACCCCUGUAGUC
rnacentral:rRNA from 1 species